UACAGAGGUCUCGAGCGUUAGUCGGAGUCACUGGGCUUAAAGCGUACGUAGGCGGAUAUGCAUGCGUCGUGUGAAAUCCCUUGGCUCAACCAAGGAACUGCACGGCGAACCGCAUGUCUUGAGAUCGGUAGGGGCGGUCGGAACGAUAGGUGGAGUGGUGAAAUGCGUUGAUAUCUAUCGGAACGCCGAAGGUGAAAGCAGGCCGCUGGGCCGAUUCUGACGCUGAGGUACGAAAGCGUGGGGAGCGAACGGG
rnacentral:rRNA from 1 species